GAUGAACGCUGGCGGCGUGCUUAACACAUGCAAGUCGAACGAACCUUCGGGUUAGUGGCGGACGGGUGAGUAACGCGUGGGUGACCUUCCCUUUACAGGGGGAUAACACCGGGAAACUGGUGCUAAUACCGCAUAAGUCUUCGGAUUAAAGAAGCAAUUCGGUAAAGGAUGGGCCUGCGUAAGAUUAGCUAGUUGGUAGGGUAAUGGCCUACCAAGGCUUCGAUCUUUAGUUGGUCUGAGAGGAUGGCCAGCCACAGUGGGACUGAGACACGGCCCACACUCCUACGGGAGGCAGCAGUAGGGAAUAUUGCGCAAUGGGCGAAAGCCUGACGCAGCAAUUCCGCGUGGAGGAUGACAUAUCUCGGUAUGUAAACUCCUGUCGGCAGGGAUGAUAAUGACAGUACCUGCAGAGGAAGCACCGGCUAACUACG
rnacentral:rRNA from 1 species